GACGAACGCUGGCGGCGUGCUUAACACAUGCGAGUCGAACGGAAAGGCCCUGCUUUUGUGGGGUGCUCGAGUGGCGAACGGGUGAGUAACACGUGAGUAACCUGCCCUUGACUUUGGGAUAACUUCAGGAAACUGGGGCUAAUACCGGAUAGGAGCUCCUGCUGCAUGGUGGGGGUUGGAAAGUUUCGGCGGUUGGGGAUGGACUCGCGGCUUAUCAGCUUGUUGGUGGGGUAGUGGCUUACCAAGGCUUUGACGGGUAGCCGGCCUGAGAGGGUGACCGGCCACAUUGGGACUGAGAUACGGCCCAGACUCCUACGGGAGGCAGCAGUGGGGAAUAUUGCACAAUGGGCGGGAGCCUGAUGCAGCAACGCCGCGUGCGGGAUGACGGCCUUCGGGUUGUAAACCGCUUUCGCCUGUGACGAAGCGUGAGUGACGGUAAUGGGUAAAGAAGCACCGGCUAACUACGUG
rnacentral:rRNA from 1 species